rnacentral:rRNA from 1 species
AUCGGACCGCAUGAUCUGAUCCGGAUACACUCCGUGAUAGUAUAGGAUGGACCCGCGUCUGAUUAGCUUGUUGGCGGGGUAACGGCCCAACCAAGGCGACGAUCAGUAGCCGGACCUGAGAGGGUGAACAGGCCACAUUGGGACUGAGACACGGCCCAGAACUCCUACGGGGAGGCAGCAGUGGGGAAUAUUGCACAAUGGGGGAAACCCUGAUGCAGCAACGCCGCGUGAGCGAAGAAGUAUUUCGGUAUGUAAAGCUCUAUCAGCAGGGAAGAAAAUGACGGUACCUGACUAAGAAGCACCGGCUAAAUACGUGCCAGCAGCCGCGGUAAUACGUAUGGUGCAAGCGUUAUCCGGAUUUACUGGGUGUAAAGGGAGCGCAGGCGGCGUGCCAAGCCUGAUGUGAAAACCCGGGGCUCAACCCCGGGACUGCAUUGGGAACUGGUGUGCUGGAGUGUCGGAGGGGUAAGCGGAAUUCCUGGUGUAGCGGUGAAAUGCGUAGAUAUCAGGAGGAACACCGGUGGCGAAGGCGGCUUACUGGACGAUCACUGACGCUGAGGCUCGAAAGCGUGGGGAGCAAACAGGAUUAGAUACCCUGGUAGUCCACGCCCGUUAAACGGAUGAAUACCCAGGGUGUCGGCAUCCAUGGGGUGUCGGUGCCGAAGCUAACGCAUUAAGUAUUCCACCUGGGGAGUACGUACGCAAGUAUGAAACUCAAAGGAAUUGACGGGGUACCCGCACAAGCGGUGGAGCAUGUGGUUUAAUUCGAAGCAACGCGAAGAACCUUACCAGGCCUUGACAUCCCUCGGACCGGUCCGUAAUGGGACCUUCCUCGUUCGAGACUGAGGUGACAGGUGGUGCAUGGUUGUCGUCAGCUCGUGUCGUGAGAUGUUGGGUUAAGUCCCGCAACGAGCGCAACCCUUGUCCUUAGUAGCCAGCAGUUCGGCUGGGCACUCUAGGGAGACUGCCGGGGACAACCCGGAGGAAGGCGGGGACGACGUCAAAUCAUCAUGCCCCUUAUGGCCUGGGCUACACACGUGCUACAAUGGCGUAAACAAAGGGAUGCGGGAGCGCGAGCUUAAGCGAAGCCCAAAAAUAACGUCUCAGUUCGGAUUGCAGGCUGCAACCCGCCUGCAUGAAGCUGGAAUCGCUAGUAAUCGCGAAUCAGCAUGUCGCGGUGAAUACGUUCCCGGGUCUUGUACACACCGCCCGUCACACCAUGGGAGUCGGGAAUGCCCGAAGCCGGUGACCCAACCUUAUAGGAGU